rnacentral:rRNA from 1 species
GCCUCGUGAACGAAGAACGCUUGCGGAUUUCACUGACGGUUGCUAGAGAGGAAUGACGAUGAGAGUAACUGUUCAUCCCUUGACGGUAUCUAACCAGAAAGCCACGGCUAACUACGUGCCAGCAGCCGCGGUAAUACGUAGGUGGCAAGCGUUGUCCGGAUUUAUUGGGCGUAAAGCGAGCGCAGGCGGUUUCUUAAGUCUGAUGUGAAAGCCCCCGGCUCAACCGGGGAGGGUCAUUGGAAACUGGGAGACUUGAGUGCAGAAGAGGAGAGUGGAAUUCCAUGUGUAGCGGUGAAAUGCGUAGAUAUAUGGAGGAACACCAGUGGCGAAGGCGGCUCUCUGGUCUGUAACUGACGCUGAGGCUCGAAAGCGUGGGGAGCAAACAGGAUUAGAUACCCUGGUAGUCCACGCCGUAAACGAUGAGUGCUAAGUGUUGGAGGGUUUCCGCCCUUCAGUGCUGCAGCUAACGCAUUAAGCACUCCGCCUGGGGAGUACGACCGCAAGGUUGAAACUCAAAGGAAUUGACGG